AUUGAACGCUGGCGGCAUGCUUUACACAUGCAAGUCGAACGGCAGCGCGUGCUUCGGCCUGGCGGCGAGUGGCGAACGGGUGAGUAAUGCAUCGGAAAGUGCCCAGUAGUGGGGGAUAGCCCUGCGAAUGCCGGAUUAAUACCGCAUACGACCUGCGGGCGAAAUCGGGGGUCCGAAAGGCCUCGCGCUAUUGGAGCGUCCGAUGUCGGAUUAGCUGGUUGGUGGGGUAAAGGCUUACCAAGGCGACGAUCCGUAGCUGGUGUGACAGGACGCCGAGCCACAGUGGGACUGAGACACGGCCCAGACUGAGAAGGGAGGCAGAAGUGGGGAAGUGGGGAAAAGGGGGGCAACCCGGAUCCAGAAAUGACGCGGGAGGGAAGAAGGCAUGCGGGUUGGAAACGGAUUUUGUUCGGGAAGAAAUCCUAUGGGCUAAGAGCGCGGGGGGAUGAAGGUACCGGAAGAAUAAGCAGCGGAUAAGUACGUG
rnacentral:rRNA from 1 species